rnacentral:rRNA from 1 species
UUCGAUUUUGAAGUGAAGUGAACUCCACCCGAACCCAUUUCGAACUCGAUUGUGACCUCAUUUCACGCCAUAUGUACUGCACUGCUGUGGGAGACGUGGUAAAAGUCGGGAACUUCCCUCCU